CAAAAACAUCGCCUCCUGCAAAACCUUCAACGUAUAGGAGGUCCUACCUGCCCAGUGACUUAUUGUUAAACGGCCGCGGUAUUUUGACCGUGCUAAGGUAGCGCAAUCACUUGUCUUUUAAAUGAAGACCUGUAUGAAUGGUGAAACGAGGGCUUAACUGUCUCCCUUCUCUAGUCAAUGAAAUUGAUCUGCCCGUGCAGAAGCGGGCAUAUAAAUACAAGACGAGAAGACCCUUUGGAGCUUAAGACAAAAAGCCAACUAUGUAAAAACCCCACAUCAAAUGGAACCUAACAAAAUAGCCAACUGGCCAACGUCUUCGGUUGGGGCGACCACGGGGGAUAAUAAAGCCCCCAUGCAGAACGGGACACCUCCCUAAACUAAGAGAGACAUCUCUAAGUCACAGAACAUCUGACUAAAAGAUCCGGCCCAAAAGCCGAUCAACGGACCAAGUUACCCUAGGGAUAACAGCGCAAUCCCCUCCAAGAGUCCAUAUCGACAAGGGGGUUUACGACCUCGAUGUUGGAUCAGGACAUCCUAAUGGUGCAGCCGCUAUUAAGGGUUCGUUUGUUCAACGAUUAAAGUCCUACGUGAUCUGA
rnacentral:rRNA from 1 species